CAAUAGCGUAUAUUUAAGUUGCUGCAGUUAAAAAGCUCGUAGUUGGAUUUCGGGUGGGAAUGGCCGGUCCGCCGUUUCGGUGUGCACUUGCUACGCCCACCUUGCUGCCGGGGACGUGCUCUUGAGUUCACGCUCGGGACACGGAGUCGGCGAGGUUACUUUGAGUAAAUUAGAGUGUUCAAAGCAGGCCUACGCUCUGAAUACAUUAGCAUGGAAUAACACGAUAGGACUCUGGCCUAUCUUGUUGGUCUGUAGGACCGGAGUAAUGAUUAAGAGGGACAGUCGGGGGCAUUCGUAUUUCAUUGUCAGAGGUGACAUUCUUGGAUUUAUGAAAGACGAACUACUGCGAAAGCAUUUGCCAAGGAUGUUUUCAUUAA
rnacentral:rRNA from 1 species